CAGAGGCAGCUCAACCAGUUGCCAGCGAUCAAAAUACAUAGACUGCUCGAGCAGUCAUUGUAAACAGCUUGAAGCUGCCAUUGAUAACUGCUGCUGACCGCCCGAAGCAGUCGCAACUGCUCGAGCGGUUUCAUGUAUAUAUGUAUAUGUACUUAUGCAAAUAGAAAACUGUAGUUCACUACGCAGU